GACGAACGCUGGCGGCGUGCUUAACACAUGCAAGUCGAACGGAAAGGCCCUGCUUGCAGGGUACUCGAGUGGCGAACGGGUGAGUAACACGUGGGUGAUCUGCCCUGCACUUCGGGAUAAGCCUGGGAAACUGGGUCUAAUACCGGAUAGGAGCCAUUUUUAGUGUGAUGGUUGGAAAGUUUUUUCGGUGUAGGAUGAGCUCGCGGCCUAUCAGCUUGUUGGUGGGGUAAUGGCCUACCAAGGCGGCGACGGGUAGCCGGCCUGAGAGGGUGGACGGCCACAUUGGGACUGAGAUACGGCCCAGACGCCUACGGGAGGCAGCAGGGGGGAAUAUUGCAAAAUGGGCGCAAGCCUGAUGCAGCGACGCCGCGUGGGGGAUGACGGCCUUCGGGUUGUAAACUCCUUUCGCUAGGGACGAAGCUUUUUGUGACGGUACCUAGAGAAGAAGCACCGGCUAACUACGUG
rnacentral:rRNA from 1 species